AUAAGGCCAAAAAAAAAUUGAUAAAUAGUUUCUCAGGCACCGCCGCAUCGGUAAAAUCAUCGCCGCACUGGCUUUUUUUUAUUAUUAUUUUUCCGGAUUUUUCGUACCUUAUCAUUAUAGGUUUUCUCUUUUAUUGAAAAAAAUAACAAACGCUCAAGUGAUUCGGAAUAAAUAGGGCAUCUCUGUCAUAAAAGAAACGUGUUUUUUUCGCGGGAUCAUGUCUCUGUUAUCUGCACAAAUUGUGAAUGGUACUUCUGUUAUAUUACCUUGGAGCAUAAUUGGGGGAUAUAGUGAAAAUUGUUCGGCAGGAGAACUUUACGAAGAUCUGAAAUAUGGACUCCAUAGAACCAGUCAAGGUAUUUUUAAAUACGUGUAAAAGUAGGUGCAAUGAAAAUCUAAUUUAUAAUGUUCUUGAAUACCUGAUUAGAAAUUGUCUUUGAAGACGGAGUCUUCAGUGUAUAUUUUUUUUACCUUAUAGCAACUCCUCACCAAGAUGUUUGAACGACUUUUUCUUAAAGAAAAAGCAUUUAAGUCCUUCUCAGCUGCAUCAGCAGAUGACAUCAAAGAGAUGUGGAAGAAUUUGGAGUUGUUUGGAGGACCACUGGAGGACAACUUAAAACAAGCUGAACUCAACAAAUGUUUAAAAGAGAGAUGAAAUGCAGUGUUGGCCAGAGUUAAAAGCCUUUAUGGAGCAUUGUACUACAUCCAGGUCUUAUUCAUUUUGCAUUAAAAAAUGUGCUGAUCCCAGCUGUUCCAUCUGCCUCAGGCCACGCUUGCCACCUGAUGUCUUUAAGCAGUUACAUCGAUUUCCAGACCCUGUACCUGGUAUUUAGUUAUAGCAUAAUAUGAUAUUAUCAAAUGAUUUCUAUAGAAAUGAAAGAUUGAAUUCUUUAAAAGUAUUAUAAAGUGAUAUAUGAAAUAUGACCAGAAAAAAUAAGACAAUUUUCAGAUUUCAGUUUUCAAAAAAUGUUUAAGGUGAAGAUGGGCACUACAAGUCAUUUGAUGAAGUUUAUGGUAGUGAAACUACAGAGGAGCACAGGCCAUCUCUACGGCAAAGAGUUACAUCGAAUCCAGGUCAUGGCAUACCCUUUUCCCCAAGUGCGCAAACAAUGAAAACAGUAAAAUGUGUCUUUAUUUGUACAGAAUGUGAAAAACCUCGUGUAGUAUAUGCUGCUACCAAACUAUCAGAACAAGAAAUGGCCACUAUAGAGCGUAUUAAGCAGCUAUUUCAAUAUACAUGUGGAUCAUCACUGCAAGAACUCAAGACUGCCGAUAACAGAACACCGCAAGUGAAUGCUUUAUUAGACAAAUGUUUCAUCAGGGCCAAUUUAACAUGUGAAAUGUCAUUAGAAGUCCCAUAUUUCAGUUCAGGAUGUUUCAGGGACUUGUGUUUUUACUGUGGAGGGGAUAAUGAGCUGCAAAGUGAAGCAGGGGCAUAUCCGAUAUGUCCUGAUUGUUCCUCUACAAAAACUCUUCCUUUGAAAAGGAAAAA